rnacentral:rRNA from 1 species
UACGAAGGGGGCUAGCGUUGUUCGGAUUUACUGGGCGUAAAGCGCACGUAGGCGGAUCGUUAAGUCGGGGGUGAAAUCCUGGAGCUCAACUCCAGAACUGCCUUCGAUACUGGCGAUCUAGAGUCCGGAAGAGGUGAGUGGAACUCCUAGUGUAGAGGUGGAAUUCGUAGAUAUUAGGAAGAACACCAGUGGCGAAGGCGGCUCACUGGUCCGGUACUGACGCUGAGGUGCGAAAGCGUGGGGCGCAAACAGG